rnacentral:rRNA from 1 species
AUUGAACGCUGGCGGCAUGCCUUACACAUGCAAGUCGAACGGUAACAGGUCUUCGGAUGCUGACGAGUGGCGAACGGGUGAGUAAUACAUCGGAACGUGCCCGAUCGUGGGGGAUAACGAAGCGAAAGCUUUGCUAAUACCGCAUAAGAUCUACGGAUGAAAGCAGGGGACCGCAAGGCCUUGCGCGAACGGAGCGGCCGAUGGCAGAUUAGGUAGUUGGUGGGAUAAAAGCUUACCAAGCCGACGAUCUGUAGCUGGUCUGAGAGGACGACCAGCCACACUGGGACUGAGACACGGCCCAGACUCCUACGGGAGGCAGCAGUGGGGAAUUUUGGACAAUGGGCGCAAGCCUGAUCCAGCCAUGCCGCGUGCAGGAUGAAGGCCUUCGGGUUGUAAACUGCUUUUGUACGGAACGAAAAGACUCUGGUUAAUACCUGGGGUCCAUGACGGUACCGUAAGAAUAAGCACCGGCUAACUACGUGCCAGCAGCAGCCGCGGUAA